CCUACGGGCUGCAGCAGUGGGGAAUAUUGCGCAAUGGGCGAAAGCCUGACGCAGCGACGCCGCGUGAGGGAUGAAGGUCUUCGGAUCGUAAACCUCUGUCAGCAGGGAAGAACGGUCACUGUGCUAAUCAGCAGUGAAUUGACGGUACCUGCAAAGGAAGCACCGGCUAACUCCGUGCCAGCAGCCGCGGUAAUACGGAGGGUGCGAGCGUUAAUCGGAAUUACUGGGCGUAAAGCGCUCGUAGGCGGUAUGUCAAGUCAAGGGUGAAAUCCCCGCGCUCAACGUGGGAACUGCCUUUGAAACUGGCAAACUGGAGUGUGUGAGAGGAUAGUGGAAUUCCAGGGGUAGGAGUGAAAGCCGUAGAUAUCUGGAGGAACAUCAGGGGCGAAGGCGACUAUCUGGCACAUAACUGACGCUGAGGAGCGAAAGCGUGGGUAGCAAACAGGAUUAGAUACCCCUGUAGUC
rnacentral:rRNA from 1 species